CGCCAGGUGACUGAAAGUAAGUAUAGGCCUUUUAAUCCUAUUAUAGUAAUUUUGCGCCUACUUCUGGUGA
rnacentral:tRNA from 1 species